GUGCUUCCCUUUGACAGCACAGAUACUAAAAUUAGAACACUACAGAGAAGAUUAGCAUGGCCCUGUGCAAGCAUGACAUACAAAUCUGUGAAGCACUCCAUAUUUUG
ensembl:snRNA U6 U6 spliceosomal RNA